UACGUGGGGUGCGAGCGUUGUCCGGAAUUAUUGGGCGUAAAGAGCUCGUAGGCGGUGUGUCACGUCGGCCGUGAAAACCUGCAGCUUAACUGUGGGCGUGCGGUCGAUACGGGGCAUCACUGGAGUUCGGCAGGGGAGACUGGAAUUCCUGGUGUAGCGGUGAAAUGCGCAGAUAUCAGGGAGGAACACCGGUGGCGAAGGCGGGGUC
rnacentral:rRNA from 1 species